rnacentral:rRNA from 1 species
GAUGAACGCUGGCGGCGUGCUUAACACAUGCAAGUCGAGGGGCAGCAUGGUCUUAGCUUGCUAAGGCUGAUGGCGACCGGCGCACGGGUGAGUAACACGUAUCCAACCUGCCGUCUACUCUUGGCCAGCCUUCUGAAAGGAAGAUUAAUCCAGGAUGGGAUCAUGAGUUCACAUGUCCGCAUGAUUAAAGGUAUUUUCCGGUAGACGAUGGGGAUGCGUUCCAUUAGAUAGUAGGCGGGGUAACGGCCCACCUAGUCAACGAUGGAUAGGGGUUCUGAGAGGAAGGUCCCCCACAUUGGAACUGAGACACGGUCCAA